GCGCUAAUAGCUCAGUUGGGAGAGCGUCAGACUGAAGUUUAUCUUCAGUGCUUAGCAAACUCGGGGUAAUCUGAAGGUCACCCGUUCAAUCCGGGUUUGGCGCA
rnacentral:tRNA from 1 species